UACAGAGGUCCCAAGCGUUGUUCGGAUUCACUGGGCGUAAAGGGUGCGUAGGCGGUCGGGUAAGUCUGAUGUGAAAUCUCACAGCUUAACUGUGAAACUGCAUUGGAUACUAUCCGGCUAGAGGAAUGGAGGGGAGACUGGAAUACUUGGUGUAGCAGUGAAAUGCGUAGAUAUCAAGUGGAACACCAGUGGCGAAGGCGGCUCACUGGACUGGUACUGACGCUGAGGCGCGAAAGCGUGGGGAGCGAACAGG
rnacentral:rRNA from 1 species